GAUGAACGCUGGCGGCGUGCCUAAUACAUGCAAGUCGAGCGAACGGACGAGAAGCUUGCUUUUCUGAUGUUAGCGGCGGACGGGUGAGUAACACGUGGAUAACCUACCUAUAAGACUGGGAUAACUUCGGGAAACCGGAGCUAAUACCGGAUAAUAUUUUGAACCGCAUGGUUCAAAAGUGAAAGACGGUCUUGCUGUCACUUAUAGAUGGAUCCGCGCUGCAUUAGCUAGUUGGUAAGGUAACGGCUUACCAAGGCAACGAUGCAUGGCCGACCUGAGAGGGUGAUCGGCCACACUGGAACUGAGACACGGUCCAGACUCCUACGGGAGGCAGCAGUAGGGAAUCUUCCGCAAUGGGCGAAAGCCUGACGGAGCAACGCCGCGUGAGUGAUGAAGGUCUUCGGAUCGUAAAACUCUGUUAUUAGGGAAGAACAUAUGUGUAAGUAACUGUGCACAUCUUGACGGUACCUAAUCAGAAAGCCACGGCUAACUACGUG
rnacentral:rRNA from 1 species